UGUGUGACACAGAAAGAAAACUUCAGUGGAGGAAGUAAUUGCAGAUGUGGUGGAAAUAACAGGAGGACUGGAAUUAGAAGUGGAGUCUGAAGAUGUGACUAAAUUCCUGCAAUCUCAUAAAAAAGCUUAAAUAGAUGAGGAAUUGCUUCUUACAGAUAAGCAAAGAAAGU